rnacentral:lncRNA from 1 species
CCCAGCCCCAGCUCCCUGCAGCUCCCAACAGACCAAACAUCCAAGCACCUGUUGAAGCCAGACCGGAAUUUGGCCCGUGCCCUUAGCACCGACUGUACCCCAUCUGGAGACCUGAGUCCCCUGAGUCGGGAACCCCCACCUUUGCUCCCUCCCAGCCGGGGCUGAGAGGGUGUGUAGUGGCUGGAAGGGUUUCAAGGUCCUUGCCCCAUCCCCAGAAAGGGGGAGAUGGUGUGGACUUCUCUGGCCCAGCCCUGCCACCCUUAUUCAGCCCGGCUUUGGGCCGUCUGUGUCAGUGGUUUCCGGUCUUUUUUUUUCCUGGCUAAAAUAUUUUGCAAAAGACCAGGUAAUUGGGCAGUGGAGUGAAGAGGGGGCAGGGGUUACCCCCCUCACCUCCAAAGCAGGUGGUGUGAAUCUUAACAGCAAUUAAAGAGCAAGUGGUUUUGUCUA